AUGUUAUCAAGAAAGGUGGAGGGAUUAGACCCUUUGAAACCUUAGCAACCCUUUACACUUAGUAAUGAAGGUGCUAAAUUCUACUUAAAUUCCCGAUUCAUUUAUCGGAAUUUGGAUAGAUAACUU
rnacentral:ncRNA from 2 species